UUAGUGGCGGACGGGUGAGUAACGCGUGGAAAACCUGCCGUAUACUGGGGGAUAACACUUAGAAAUAGGUGCUAAUACCGCAUAAGCGCACAGCUUCGCAUGAAGCGGUGUGAAAAACUCUGGUGGUAUACGAUGGUUCCGCGUCCGAUUAGCUAGUUGGUGGGGUAAUGGCCUACCAAGGCAACGGUCAGUAGCCGGCCUGAGAGGGUGAACGGCCACAUUGGGACUGAGACACGGCCCAAACUCCUACGGAAGGCAGCAG
rnacentral:rRNA from 1 species